rnacentral:rRNA from 1 species
UAACAUUUCAAUAAUUUUCUUUUUWAAAAUAUUUAAAAUUAUUUUAAAUAUUAAAAAAUAUUUAUAAAAAAAAAAGACAACAAGACCCUGUUGAACUUAACUUUAGUUUUACUGGGGUAGUAUAUUAAAAAUUAUUUUAAUAAACUUAUUUCUCUAAAAAUCCAAACAUGAUUAAUCAAGUUACCAUAGGGAUAACAGCAUAAUAAAUUUUUAAAGAUCUUAUAAAAAAUAAAGAUUAUGACCUCGAUGUUGAAUUAAUAACCUAAUUAAAGCAAAAAUUAAAUAAGGAAGUCUGUUCGACUUUUAAAAAAUUACAUGAUUUGAGUUCAGACCGGUGUAAGCCAGGUCGGUUUAUAUCUUUUAUAUAAAUUCUUGUAGUACGAAAGGACCUAAGAAAUUAAUU